GGAAUAUAUUUUAAAUUACGUGGAAAAUCAAGAGAUAAUGAUAAAAUUUCAAAACAUAUAAACAUAUGGAUUCAUAAUCUAUUCACAUCCAUAUUCAAAUGGUCUGAAUCUAUCCUGUGAGAUACUUGAUCCCAUCGCUACAAUGAUACCACGAAUAGGAGGAAACAGAGGGGAGAGGAUCGGUCAGUUCUCCCUGUGUCGGUGUUCGCGCCACAGAUUGCAUCAGCACGCCCUUAAUCCUAUUAUGACUAAGUAAUGACUCCUUAGUAUGCCGACUCGAGAACCGUAAAAAUGUUGUGUCAGAUGCUAUCUGACUGGUUGUCGUUUGGUAAUUUACCAUACGUCCAGCAUCGGCUAAAGGUCAGACCGCUUUUACGCUUGAUUCACGGCUUCCGAAGAAGUCUUCUCUCCUUCUAUGGCGGUCGUAACUAUGGAAAGAUUAGCGUAGUGAGAUUAUGAUUUAUGAUUUUCAAGCAGUUCAUGAGAAUUUUGUAUUAAAAGAGUAGAAAGUCGAAGUUAAUAUAUAUUGUGAUAUUAUGAACUGCAUCGAUAUCACUAUAAUGUUAAAAAUAAUAAAAUUAUUCAAAUUAGUAUUAAAGUUUAGAAUAUUUAGUGAAUAUCUAGAAAUUGAAAAAAACGAUGGAAUAAAUAUUUGAAAAUUACGCUGAUACUUUCAAAAUAGUCCAGUUUAUCUUGUUAAGCACAUUUGUUGAAAAAAUGGCAUGACUCAAAAUUUGCUUUUAUCGAAUUAAUUCUUUGUCACGAAGAAUGAACAUUGCUUAAGAAACAUCAAGCAAUCACUACUGAAAAGAAACAGAAAAAGAGAAAGAGAGAGAAGGAACGAUGGUAUUUAUAGGUCGUUCGAAUUCUAUGGAUCUCGAAGGGAACACGACAAGUAAUAAGUUUCGUUUAAGUCUGAGCAAUCAGAUAACGAUCGGAAUUUUGCGGCGAGAAGAAAGAGGGAAUCGAGAGAGAAGGAGAGAUUGUGUAUCCAAUCUACUUGUAAUUAUAUGCAACGGAAUCUGGUAUAUAAGGAUUGUUUAACGGUAAACGAUGAAUUGGUGCAAAUAGCAGGAAUGAACAGCUAUUUAACGAAAUUGCUAUGAACCAUCUGAUUAAGGGGAUUGCUUUGAAGUACACGUGUGUAUUGUGUAAUAACUGAUGAACAGGGGAAUACAUUCACCAGAUAUUGCGUCCCUUGAACAAGUUGUGCAUAAAUGAAUGAAUGGAGAUAAAUUUUAUGGAUGAUUUUUCAAAAAGGAUUAUUGUAAAGAGUAAUACAUAUUUGAGAGAUAUUGAAUAAUAAAGUAAAAAACUGUGAAGUAAAUAAUUGAAUAAAUAAUCAAGUAAGAAUUUUUGGAAAAUGUUGAAAGAAAGAGAGGAGUUAAAAAAAUUGAACGAAAGAAUGCUGUUAUUAGGUCAAUCAAUAUUUAAAUAAAAUUGAUGUAUUGAUGAAAAAGAAAAUGACUAUAAUUAAGAGAUAAAAAAACAACAUCAAAGCCGCAAUGAGAGUCGUAAAGAUGAGCCAACAGAACCAUAAAAGCAACGCAGAACAAUAAAUCUAAUAUCUCGUAAAACUCUGGUUGCCUCUUUCCAUCAUCAACGAUUAGGAAUGAUUCUCGAGAGCUUCUUAAUAAUGAAUGAUCCCAAAUCCAUCAAAACUCGGAACGAAAAUAUCCUAUCCUAUCCGUGAAGAAAGGAGUCCUCGAAAAAAAUAUGUAAAAGGGUCCACCAGAAACCAGUUCAGAUUUAUCGCUUCCGGUAUAGUGAAAAAUAUGAAGCAAAUUAACAUGCCCAAGUAAUAUUGUUACGAUGAUUUAUGGGUGAAAACACGAGGAAGCUGUCCAACGUCAUUUUAAGCGGCAAAGAGAAUGCGAAUUUGCAAGAAACUAAGCCGACUGCAUACCAACGAGCCUGAAACCCAAGAAAGCCGAUCUUUCCGCAAUAUCUUCACCGCCUUAAUUCCCUGCGAAUCUCAUGAAAAAAAGGCGCGAACAUCGUCCAAAGGGAUUUAAACGGCUACUUAUCCUCGUUCGGUUUGGUUUGUAAUAAACCAGGAAAGAAGAUAUAAAGAAAAAAAUGGAUGUGAUAAAACGUGUAAGUUUAUAAGUUCACGUGUUUUGAGAUAGAGAUAGAACUCGAGUGACAUAAGUAUUUGAAUGAUUUUAAAAUUCAUUCAACUCAAAAAAACAUUUCGAUAAAAAAGAAUUGUUUCAAAAACUUAUUUUCUUCAACUUUAAUCAAGCAAUCACACAUUGCAAUCAAUUACUAAUACAAAAAAUAAUUGGAGACAACAUACAGAGCCGCUGUGUUACAAUAGUUGUUACUGAAACGAGUUCAAAUCACGUUGCUCUAAGGAUGCUUUUAAUUUGAAAGCAAAUUCUCCAAGAUAAUGUAUGAACUUGGCAAUGGUAACAUUGAAAGGAUAAUGUACCAACUUUGUCUACCCUUAAAAAACGUUGACCGAGAAGAAAGAAGAAUGAUGGACGUUCAACCCGAAUAGUUUUCCAGAUGUCAUCCCUUUCUCGAGAUUCACAACGAGGCGAAUUGUCAGCUUUGCGAAAUGGAAAAAAAAAAAACAAAAAGAAAAAAAGAAAAAAUAAAUAUUACGACUGUGUUACGAACGUGGUUUACCGGUAGCUAACACGUAGAAGCUACUCUUUGUACGUGGAAUAGUUACGAGUUCUUCGGGUUCUGUUUAAUAUGCAUGGAAACGCGCCUCUUAGAGCAUAUGCUUUCAUAUGUUUACCGCUUCCAAUUUCUCAUUGUUAUCAAAACUACUGACUUAAACGAUAUUCUUGUAUGGAGGAAGAGUGAAAGAACGAGUUCGAAAGUUACAGAGAAAAUAAUAAUGGAUUAAAUAAAAAAAAGAAACUCGAAUUUUUCUAAAGGUAUUUUUCAAAGCAAGAAGACUGACAAAACCUAAAAUGGACAGGAUAGGAUCCAAGAUUCUUCAAGAAAAAAAUGCUCAAGAUCAAUCAUUUGUUCAAUUCACAUUCAAUUGCCUCUUUAGAGAUAAGGAAAGCUUGAGCAACUGAGCAACCUAAAGAUGUCGCAUAUCCUUAAAUCAUCUUAUCUAUUCAAAGCUUAUUAUUCACACGCUUUAAACGACGUCUAAAGUGCAGUGACAUCUUUUUUUGACUGUCACGCCUUUAUCGCGUUCAGUUUUACGCGACUACUCGUAUCGAUCUGACAGUGGCGUAAAAGCCAUGACAGAAUACCAUCAGCGACCAUCUUCGCGGAAUCCUAAGAAACUUAGUUAGUCAGGAACCCUCUGUGUUGCGUAUCGGAGUCAGCAGCCCGUUGCUGGAUGACAAAUCGUUGGUUGGCCGAGCUGACAGCUAACAUCCAUUGACCGUUUUACAACUUGAUAAAUCGUAACACGGAGGAUCUUCUCGUUAUAACAGAUGGUGUACGCGUUAAGUGUCUAUUUUUUAAAAUUACUUCUUUAUUUAAGGAUCUUUAUUUUUUUGAUCUUGUUCAAAUCAUUGGAACCGAUGAAAUAAUGCAACAUAUUAUUCUACAAUACAAAUUAAAAUUUUCUGAUAACAAAAUUCUAAGUAAUUCAAUAAAAUAUAAAAUACAAAUUGAUA
rnacentral:lncRNA from 1 species